rnacentral:rRNA from 12 species
UCGAGACCAGGACGUUGAUAGGUCAGGUGUGGAAGUGCAGUAAUGCAUUAAGCUAACUGAUACUAAUUGCCCGUACGGCUUGUCCCU